CUAAUGGUGGAUUAUAUUCCACUGCUUAUUGUCUUAUUUAUGUUUAUGUCUUGUUGGUCACUCGGGUUUACUACGGGGAAGUUCUGAGUGAUGUUAUUAUUUUUUUGUUAUUAGGCGAACUCCUCGUCUUAGUUUGUUUGGGGUGGGAUGGCGAGGGGUUGUAUUUGUUAGUUGGGCUCUGGCUCCUGAGUGACAUUAGGUUACUCAUUAAACUCACUCUUCGUUGCAGAAACCUUUGUGGGAGACGGGUAGAGUGGAAGCUGGACGUUAGGAGCACGAAGUACUUUGCCUUUCCUUUUGUAAAUGGUACUAGUUAAAGUCUUUUGACUGAUAUUGCACUAGGCCUGGAUCCAUUGUAAUAUUUUAUUGUAACGAAUCUUUAUUAUAUUAAUAAAAGAUGAUGUUUUAUAUUCUUACAAUGGUUCUCUGAUAAAUAGACUUGUCCGUCUAACACAACUUAGGUUUAGGUACGGGUUGAAAAGCCUUAGGCCGCUUGAUCUAACGGAACCGUUAACUCUAGUACGGGUUGCAAAGCCUUAGUCCAUCGAUUUAGCGGGAUAGUGUUAGUAAGCAGCGAAUGUGCGAGCUGACAGACUGCUGUAGCGCUUCUGGACCAUGGUGUUGGGUUGACGGUCAGUCAUGUUCGAUGUUUGGAUGGCCGACCUAUGCCUAGGUCGUUUCGGGUCUGACAACACCGGGCAUUUCGAUUUCAUUAGUCAGAGGUGAAUUCUUGGAUUUCUGAAAACAGAAUAGACGAAUGAGCAUUGCCAAGGAUGUUUUCAUAAUCAAGAACGAAAGUUGGGGCUCGAAGAGCGAUCAAUAAUCCUAGUCUCAACCAUAAACGAUGCGCAGGACCCAGGAUCUUUAGCCGACUGUCAUGCUGGCACCAAAGUUUUUUGUGUUCCGGGGGGAGUAUGGUCGCAAGGCUGAAACUUAAAGGAAUUGACGGAAGGGCACCACCAGGAGUGGAGCCUGCGGCUUAAUUUGACUCAACACGGGGAAACUUACGAGGUCCAGACAUAGUAAGGAUUGACGGACUGAGAGCUCUUUCUUGAUUCUAUGGGUGGUGGUGCAUGGCCGUUCUUAGUUGGUGGAGCGAUUUGUCUGGUUAGUUCUGUUAACGAACGAGACCUCAGCCUGCUAACUAGCUACGUGGAGGCAUCCCUUCACGGCCGGCUUUUUAGAGGGACUAUGGACGUUUAGGCCAAGGGAGUUUGAGGCAAUAACAGGUUUGUGAUGCCUUUAGAUGUUCUGGGCCGCACCCGCGCUACACUGAUGUAUUCAACGAGUUCACACCUUGGCCGACAGGCCCGGGUAAUCUUGAAAUUUCAUCGUGAUGGGGAUAGAUCAUUGCAAUUGUUGGUCUUCAACGAGGAAUUCCUAGUAAGCGCGAGUCAUCAACUCGCGUUGACUACGUCCCUGCCCUUUGUACACACCGCCCGUCGCUCCUACGAUUGAAUGAUCCGGUGAAGUGUUCGGAUCGCGGCUGACGUGGAGUGGUUGCCAUCUGCGAGUCGACGAGAAGUCCACUAAACCUUAUCAUUUAGAGGAAGGAGAAGUCGUAACAAGGUUUCCGUAGGUGAACCUGCGGAAG
rnacentral:rRNA from 1 species